AUUGAACGCUGGCGGCAGGCCUAACACAUGCAAGUCGAACGAGUGGCGGACGGGUGAGUAAUGUCUGGGAAACUGCCCGAUGGAGGGGGAUAACUACUGGAAACGGUAGCUAAUACCGCAUACCAUCGGAUGUGCCCAGAUGGGAUUAGCUAGUAGGUGGGGUAACGGCUCACCUAGGCGACGAUGCCUCGCUGGUCUGAGAGGAUGACCGUCCACAAUGGAGCGCAGACACGGUCCGGACUCCUACGGCAGGCAGCAGGGGGGAAUAUUGCACAAUAGGGGCAAGCCUGAGACAGCCAUGCCGCGUGUAUGAAUAAGGCCUUCGGGUUGUAAAGUACUUUCAGCGAGGAGGCGUUACUCGCAGAAGAAGCACCGGCUAACACCGUGCCAGCAGCCGCGGUAAUAC
rnacentral:rRNA from 1 species